rnacentral:tRNA from 1 species
GCGGACUUAGCUCAGUUGGGAGAGCGCCAGACUGAAGUUCUGGAGGUCCUGUGUUCGAUCCACAGAGUCGGCA